CUGUGUUGUUGUGUGACGCGUGAAUGUCAAUGUCAUUGUCAUUCGUGUUACUCUUACUCGACUGUUUUAGUGAUUGUGGUUGACUUAUUAACGUUUGCACUUUAUCUUACUGAAUACUGAAAAGCUAAAAGUUAUUCCGCCGGCCGCAGCUUCAUCAUGAGAACAAACAGCCGAAUGUGUUGAAGCCACUAGUUUACAGUACGAAGAAGUGAAGGAAAAUGCAGCUCAUAUCAUAAGUUCUGCUGAGAAGGCAAACAUGUCCAAAUCACGACAGGAAACGGAACUGUCGAUUCAGGCAUGGCUAAAAAGGGCGAAGGAAAGGAAGGACGUGAAAUCUACGAAAAAGUUUCAAUAUAAUCAUUUAUGUUAU